rnacentral:rRNA from 1 species
AAACCAACAGGGAUUGCCUUAGUAACGGCGAGUGAAGCGGCAAAAGCUCAAAUUUGAAAUCUGGCACCUUCGGUGUCCGAGUUGUAAUUUGAAGAAGGUAACUUUGGAGUUGGCUCUUGUCUAUGUUCCUUGGAACAGGACGUCACAGAGGGUGAGAAUCCCGU